CCUACGGGAGGCAGCAGUGGGGAAGUAUUGCACAAUGGGCGCAAGCCUGAUGCAGCAACGCCGCGUGAGGGACGACGGCCUUCGGGUUGUAAACCUCUUUUAGUAGGGAAGAAGCGAAAGUGACGGUACCUGCAGAAAAAGCACCGGCUAACUACGUGCCAGCAGCCGCGGUAAUACGUAGGGUGCAAGCGUUAUCCGGAAUUAUUGGGCGUAAAGAGCUCGUAGGCGGUUUGUCGCGUCUGCUGUGAAAACUGGAGGCUCAACCUCCAGCCUGCAGUGGGUACGGGCAAACUAGAGUGCGGUAGGGGAGAUUGGAAUUCCUGGUGUAGCGGUGGAAUGCGCAGAUAUCAGGAGGAACACCGAUGGCGAAGGCAGAUCUCUGGGCCGUAACUGACGCUGAGGAGCGAAAGCAUGGGGANCGAACAGGAUUAGAUACCCUGGUAGUCCAUGCCGUAAACGUUGGGCGCUAGAUGUGGACGACUCUACGUUCGUCGUCGCNGCUACGCAUAGUCGCCCGCCGUCGGGAGGUACGGCCGCGACGGACGUAACGUACGAAACGAAGUAGACGGCGUGAGACGUACGCCGACGGACGACCGACCGACGGGAGGUUAGG
rnacentral:rRNA from 1 species